rnacentral:lncRNA from 1 species
UUUUUUUCCUUAAUUUCUCUUUCUGAUUUCCAUUGUUAGUAUAUAGACGUGCAACAGAUUUCUGUGUAUUAAUUUUGUAUCCAAACAACUUUACAAAUUCAUUGAUGAACUCUAGCAGUUUUCUGGUAGCAUCUUUAGGAUUUUCUAGGUAUAAUAUCAUGUCUUCUGCAAACAGUGUUAACUUUUUUCUAAAUGUUUGAUAGAAUUCACUUGUAAAGCCAUCUGGUCUUGGGCUUUUGUUUUUUGGAAGUUUUUAAAUCACGGUUUCAAUUUCAGUACUUGGAAUUGGUCUACUCAUAUUUUUUAUUUCUUCCUUUGUCAGUCUCAGAAAAUUGUACCUUUCUAAGAAUUGGUGUAGUUCUUCUAGGUUGUCUAUUUUAUUGGCAAUAGUUUCUUAUGAUCCUUUGUAUUUCCAUUGUAACUUCUUUUUCAUUUCUCAUUUUAUUGAUUUGAACUCUCACCCUUUUUUUCUUGAUAAAUCUGACUAAAGGUUUAUCAGUUUUGUUGAUCUUUUCAAAGAACCAGUUUUUAGUUUCAUUGAUCUUCUCUAUUGUUUUCUUUGUUUCUAUUUAUUUCUGCUUUGAUCUUCAUGAUUCCUUUCCUUCUACUAACCUUGGGUUUUGUUUUUUCUUCUUUCUCUAGUUGCUUAAGAGGUAAAGUUAGGUUGUUUAUUUGGGAUUUUUCUUGCUUCCUGAGCUAAGCUUGUAUUGCUCUAAAUUCUCUUAGAACUGCUUUUGAUGCAUCCCAUUGGUUUUGGAUCAUUGUGUCUUCAUUAUCAUUUUUCCCUAGGUAGUUUUUAAUUUCUUCUUUGAUUUCUUCAGUGAUCCCUUUGCUGAGCAGAGCUCUGCAGGGAAGGGGUCUCAUUUCCAAAAUGAUGAUUUGUGCUUUUUCUGUUUUAAAUUAGAUUUAGUGGAGUUGCUUUUAGCAGGUACUUGGCCUCCUCUGUUUUCCUUCUCUCUUAUUGGAAAUAUGGGGCUGAAUGGGGGUUAUAAACUAAACAUGGCUCUGUGGGGGCUGGGGUUCUCUGACCUGCACCUUGUUGCUUUUCCUGAGCUCCACUUGGAGCCAACUUCACUCCACUGGCACAUGUACUAAAAACAGAAUUUGUCUUCUCAAAACUUCUGGGUUAAGAUUUCCCCAAAUUGUUGGCAUUUUAAAACAAAGCCACCAUGUGAUAUACCAAGUGGGGAUCCAAGGCCUCAGUCAAGGUCACCUGCCCCUCCUCUAUCUCUAAGCCAUUCCCCCUGCCCUUUUCACUUGUGACUGGGGUGGGGGUUGACCCUGUGUAACCGGGGUGAAUCUCCACAGCUUGGAAAUCCUGUAAGUGACCCUUCUGUGGGUCCUUGACUACAGUAACUCUAGCCUUUCUUCUCCAGGCCCACACUAGUCACCACCAGCUCCAGAUUAAGCCAUGCUCCAGAUUGCAGUUAUAUCAUCUUUAAAAUGGAGAUUGUAUUCAUUCCUGCCUCCAGUGUGGUUUGGAGAUCCAGGGUGACAAAAUGACUGGAAAGCUCUUACGCUCCACCCCACACAUAGCAUGUACAGAAAAUGGCCAUGUUCCCCACCUUAUCAUCCCUUUUUGGCCUUUAAGAUAUUUGGGGGGGGAAGUUUUUAAUUUGCAUAAAUCAGGAGAAUAUAUUCUAUCUCUGUCCUUUCAGAAGGCAGUAGGGGUUCUUCGUUCUCUUUGGCAUCCUGUAAAAGACACUCCUCUGUCCCUGAGGCUCAAAGACUCAGGGAAGGUCUGAUCUCUGUCUCCAUACCCCCUUGAUCUCCAGCCCGUUUCUCUGAGCACAGGCUCAUCUCUGGAUAUCGAGAGUAGGAUUUUGGAGGUGAACAGGACAAAGUCCCGAGGCCAGCAUUCACAGCUCACAAUGGAACUUGGCCGCCUUCGGUCACUAGCCCAGCCAAAGCCUUUCUUCCUGCCAUGACCCCACUACAAAGAGAAGAAACACACAUUGACUUCAUCCUUACUGAGAACCUCCCCAGAUUUGGCACCGUCUAGGAUCUAAGAAAAUAUCAGUGCACAAAACAGACAGAUAUUCCUGCCCUCACGCAGCUUAUGUUAUAGCAGGGGAGGGCAGUGGGGACAAUAAACAAAUAUUAUGAAUAAACAGAAAUAACACAAAUUUGUUAACAGAUAAUCCCACCACUCUGGCAUCCCUCGUUUAAAAUAUAUGUACUCUUUACCCAUGGUGGUUUAAUUCAGAUCAUAAUGGCCAUAAGACUACUCUUCCAAGACCACUGGGGUGGGUCACAGUGUUCAGCAAAGAUUUGUUUAAGCUUCUUUUAAAAGAACCCACAUGGGUAGAAGAGCAGGCCCAGGAAUAUCUGCCCUAUGCCCACAGUCACAUGUGAGAAAAGUUGACCUUCUACACGUUUGACUAAAUUCUGCAAAUCUGAAACUAGAGAGAAGGCAAAUGUAAAAGGCAUUUCAUGGGAAGCCAGUAAAGGGUGGUUUAAAAACUUUAAAAAGAAACAGUCUGGGAGUUCCCGUCGUGGCGCAGUGGUUAAUGAAUCCGACUAGGAACCAUGAGGUUGCGGGUUCGAUCCCUGCCCUUGCUCAGUGGGUUAACGAUCUGGCGUUGCCGUGAGCUGUGGUGUAGGUUGUAGACACGGCUCAGAUCCCGUGUUGCUGUGGCUCCGGCGUAGGCUGGCAGCUACAGCUCUGAUUGGACCCCUGGCCUGGGAACCUCCAUAUGCCGCAGGAGCGGCCCAAAGAAAUAGCAAAAAGACAAAAAGAAAAAAAGAAAAAAAAAAAAA